UGCAGUCGAGCGGAGUGAUGGUGCUUGCACUAUCACUUAGCGGCGGACGGGUGAGUAAUGCUUAGGAAUCUGCCUAUUAGUGGGGGACAACAUCUCGAAAGGGAUGCUAAUACCGCAUACGUCCUACGGGAGAAAGCAGGGGAUCACUUGUGACCUUGCGCUAAUAGAUGAGCCUAAGUCGGAUUAGCUAGUUGGUGGGGUAAAGGCCUACCAAGGCGACGAUCUGUAGCGGGUCUGAGAGGAUGAUCCGCCACACUGGGACUGAGACACGGCCCAGACUCCUACGGGAGGCAGCAGUGGGGAAUAUUGGACAAUGGGGGGAACCCUGAUCCAGCCAUGCCGCGUGUGUGAAGAAGGCCUUAUGGUUGUAAAGCACUUUAAGCGAGGAGGAGGCUCUUUUGGUUAAUACCCAAGAUGAGUGGACGUUACUCGCAGAAUAAGCACCGGCUAACUCUGUGCCAGCAGCCGCGGUAAUACAGAGGGUGCAAGCGUUAAUCGGAUUUACUGGGCGUAAAGCGCGCGUAGGCGGCCAAUUAAGUCAAAUGUGAAAUCCCCGAGCUUAACUUGGGAAUUGCAUUCGAUACUGGUUGGCUAGAGUGUGGGAGAGGAUGGUAGAAUUCCAGGUGUAGCGGUGAAAUGCGUAGAGAUCUGGAGGAAUACCGAU
rnacentral:rRNA from 1 species